CCUGUUUCUCUUGAGGAAGAUUGUCGCUGAGCUAACAUCUGUGCCAAUCUUCCUCUAUUUUCUAUGUGGGACACUGCCACAGCAUGGCUUGAUGAGCAGUGUGCAUGUCUGUCCUCAGAUCUGAAUCUGCGAACCCCAGGCUGCCAAAGUGUGAGAACUUAACCAUUACGCUACUGGGCCAGCCAUUGGUUGCAUUUUUAUUCAUUUUAAACUAACUGAACUAAAAAAUGAUAUAGCACCCACAUAUGUGUAAAUCAUGGCAGAAAAUGACUUGUAUAUACUUUUAAUAUUUUUCUAGUAUGUAUGAUUUAUAUAAUGGCUAUUAAUUUUUUUAAUAAAAGAAUAAUCUUAAUCACAUACCAAUAUUCUGAUUUCACCUUAAAUUUCAUUUACCCAGGUUGGAUCUCCUCACCGGAGUGCUUCCUUUACAGCAGGCUCCCAUCAUCUUUUCCUUCCAGGUGCUCUCCUUGCUUUGCUCAGAAGGUGACUCUUGGUUCUUGGCUGUACCCUCUUUGAGGCUUUUAGACCGCAGUUAUCUUUCUGUACCCGUAUGUCUCACCGCCCGUGAGCUGUAUCUUAUUAGCACAGAACUUAUUCUUUUCUAGUAUAUCACUAAACAUGCCAGAACUCUGAUGGAUAAAUCCCAGGCUUGGAAUACUACCACGAAGAAUUAUGUUUUUUCUUCUCCUGCAAGAUAACACAAAUUAACCUUUUCUAGGUAUUUGUAAAUAUCUAGAGCUUUUACUUUAAUAUUAUGUGUUGGUGGGUUUUUUUAAAGAGAAAUCUGGGAUAAGGUCUCGAUUGAGGUUGGUAAGAAAAGAGUCACAAGAUAUAAAUUAAACAUUUUGUAACUACAUAUGGUGAGGGAUGUGAACUAGACUUAUUGUGGCAAUCAUUUUGCAAUAUAAACAAAUACAGAAUCAUUCUUUUGUACACCUGAAACUAGUAUAAUGUUAUAUGUCAAUUAUACUUCCAUAAAAACAAGCAAAAUAAGCUAGAAGGAAAAAACAAAACAAAACAUAAAUUAUACACACAUACAUCUGUGAGUAAAUGUCAAACUAAGAGAAUUGCUGAUUACAUCUUAAAUUGUUCUUUAAAAAAUUAAAAAAUCAUAUAAUGUAAAUUUUUGCCCAGGAAUCAUCAGGAACCACAUUACUCACUUCUUUGCAUUAUUUUAAAUCAAAAGUGAAUUGACACUAAUUUUCUACUGAGCUUUAUAGCAAGUUAAUGUUCUUUUAUAUCACUGGAGUGAUUUCCCAUUUGUGCCAACAUCAAUCAGCUCUUGAGAAUGUUUGUAGAACAUUUUGCUUAAUGGAACACAAGAUAUAGUAUCCAAAUACUUUGAAGACUUUCUCCCCCUUUUUGGGGGCUUGAUCACCUAGGUUGACCUAAUGAUUAUGGGG
rnacentral:lncRNA from 1 species